AAAAAAAAAAAAGAAAUGAAACAAAGUCCAUUUUACUUGGAGUGGAAAAAGAUGGAAGCUAAAUUUGCAAUAUAGAGAACCAGAGUUUGCAGGAGAACCAGAGUUUGAAGGCAACCCAUCAGAGACUUAAUCCAUAUCUCAGAAGUCAGAAAUAUUGCAGUUUGCUUAUAGUGAGAGAUUCUUAAAGAAUUCCCAGUAAAAAAACCUUAAUUAAAAUAUCAGAAGGAGAGAAAGGAAGUUUGUACAACCACAUUAAGAGUAGAACAAGAAAGAAAGAGAGAAGAAAAGAAUACAUUAUCUACAGCACUC
rnacentral:misc_RNA from 1 species